rnacentral:rRNA from 1 species
AUUGAACGCUGGCGGAAUGCUUUACACAUGCAAGUCGAACGGCAGCACGGGGCAACCUGGUGGCGAGUGGCGAACGGGUGAGUAAUACAUCGGAACGUGCCCAAUCGUGGGGGAUAACGUAGCGAAAGUUACGCUAAUACCGCAUACGAUCUACGGAUGAAAGCGGGGGAUCGCAAGACCUCGCGCGAAUGGAGCGGCCGAUGUCAGAUUAGGUAGUUGGUGGGGUAAAGGCUCACCAAGCCAACGAUCUGUAGCUGGUCUGAGAGGACGACCAGCCACACUGGAACUGAGACACGGUCCAGACUCCUACGGGAGGCAGCAGUGGGGAAUUUUGGACAAUGGGCGCAAGCCUGAUCCAGCAAUGCCGCGUGCAGGAUGAAGGCCUUCGGGUUGUAAACUGCUUUGUACGGAACGAAAGACUUCGGGCUAAUACCCUGAAGUCAUGACGGUACCGUAAGAAUAAGCACCGGCUAACUACGUGCCAGCAGCCGCGGUAA